rnacentral:rRNA from 1 species
UACGGGGGGAGCAAGCGUUGUUCGGAUUUACUGGGCGUAAAGGGCGCGUAGGCGGUCAGCACAAGUCAGUUGUGAAAUCUCCGGGCUUAACUCGGAAAGGUCAACUGAUACUGUGCGACUAGAGUGCGGAAGGGGCAACUGGAAUUCUCGGUGUAGCGGUGAAAUGCGUAGAUAUCGAGAGGAACACCUGCGGCGAAGGCGGGUUGCUGAGCCGACACUGACGCUGAUGCGCGAAAGCCAGGGGAGCGAACGGG